rnacentral:lncRNA from 1 species
CAACAAUUGAAUUAUGUUUUUUUGCCGACGUUUACUGACACCGGUGAAAUUCAACUGGGUAUUGCAUUUGUAAAAUGCAUCAGUUACUCUGCGCUCUGGCACACUCCGACGAGAGGGCUCUGAAAUCGGAGUCAAUAGCCAGAGUGAAUUUACGAACGCACCCUUUAUAUCGCAGGAGUGCAUUUGUUUUGUAGUAAGGGUAGGUAACAACACAUCCGCCAUGCUGAUCCUCAACACAGGGGCCCCUCAGGGGUGCGUGCUCAGCCCCCUCCUGUACUCCCUGUUCAGUCAUGACUGCACGGCCAGGCACGACUCCAACACCAUCAUUAAAUUUGCCGAUGACACAACAGUGGUAGGCCUGAUCACCGACAACGACGAGACAGCCUAUAAGGAGGAGGUCAGAGACCUGGCCGUGUGGUGCCAGGACAACAACUUCUCCCUCAACGUGAUCAAGACAAAGGAGAUGAUUGAGGACUGCAGGAAAAAGAGGACCGAGCACGCCCCCAUUCUCAUCGACGGGGCUGCAGUGGAACAGGUUGAGAGCUUCAAGUACCUUGGUGUCCACAUCACCAACAAACUUGCAUGGUCCAAGCACACCAUGACAGUCGUGAAGAGGGCACGACAAAACCUAUUCCCCCUUAGGAGACUGAAAAGAUUUGUCAUGGGUCCUCAGAUCCUCAAAAGGUUCUACAGCUGCACCAUCAAGAGCAUCCUGUCUGGUUGCAUCACUGCCUGGUAUGGCAGCUGCUCAGCCUCUGACUGCAAGGCACUACAGAGGGUAGUGCGAACGGCUUAGUACAUCACUGGGGUCAAGCUUCCUCUAUACCAGGCCUCUAUACCAGGCGGUGUCAGGGGAAGGCCCUAAAAAUUGUCAGACUUCAGCCACCAUAGUCAUAGACUGUACUGGAGCGCCAUGUCUAGGUCCAAGAUGCUUCUAAACAGCUUCUACCCCCAAGCCAUAAGACUCCUGAACAUCUAGUCAAAUGGCUACCCAGACUAUUUGCAUUGCCCCCCUUCCUCUCCACACCACUGCCACUCUCUGUUGUCAUCUAUGCAUAGUCACUUUAAUUAACUCUACCUACAUGUACAUACUACCUCAACUAACCGGUGCCCCCGCACAUUGAUUCUGUACCGGCACCCCCCUGUAUAUAUUGUUAUAUUUGUACUGCUGCUCUUUAAUUACUUGUUACUUUUCUCUUAUUCUUAUCCAUAUUUUUUUAAACUGCAUUGUUGGUUAGGGGUUUGUAAGUAAGCAUUUCACUGUUGUAUUCGGUGCAUGUGACUAAUAACAUUUGAUUUGAUUUUGACAGCACAUGCGCAGUUCGGCACGAGACAACCGUUGGACCCGAUGACGUGUGUCUGCGCAUGAGCUUAGAUAGCCAACGUCGCCAUGACAUCGCCUACGAGCGUGAUCGGGGAUUUCUAUUGGAGAAGCAUGUUCUGCCUAUCUCCAUUCUGUUGGCACUGGACUGUGAAGGUGUCGUUACUGGAGCUGCAAUGACAACAAUGUAGAUGCAUAUUUGAGAUGCAAAUGAAUAAUGAAAAUGUGAUGAUAGAGCACAGAUCUGUCUGUGUGUGUGUGUGUCUAAAUGAGGACUAAUUGUUGAUUUGAGUAUUCAGCCAGGACUCACGAACAACUGUCAACAACACUGAAUCAUAAUCAGGGCUGGAUGACUCCUUAAAUAACUCUCAUCAAAGUCACAUUGACUGUAAUGAAGCAUCAACAUUAGGGAUAAACCAUUGGGAACAGACAGCUAGACCUUGUCCAAUGCAACAACAAAAAGCUGGCAUCCUGCAAAACAUCUUACAGCCAGGCCAAUGUACUACUCCUCCAGCCCUACUCAUAGUGCUGCGUCUUGUGGACUGGCGACGUGUGUAUGUUUCUGCAGGUGAGAACAAGGACCUGAGCCCUAGGACCAUGCCUCGUUUCCUGGCUGUCCCCAGUCCACCUGGUCAUGCUGCUGCUCCAGUUUCAACUGUUCUGCCUCCGGCUAUGGAACCCUGACUUGUUCACCGGACGUGCAACCUUGUUCCGGACCUGCUGUUUUCGACUCUCUCCCGCUCUACCUCACCUGCUGUCUCAACCUCUGAAUGCUUGGCUAUGAAAAGCCAACUGACAUAUACUCCUGAGAGGAAGAUUGCAGUGGGCCUCAAAAGAAUCCGGACAACAGAAGUUUUCUGUUUUGAACUUUGGAGUAGAGCACCCGUCAAAGGAGUUCUCAGGCGUGACGACGGAUGUUCAGGUUGAAUACCUGAAGAGAAUUCCUGGUGUGGUUGGAGCCCGGCGUCUAACCCGCUGGCUGAAUGGAGAGAAAGAAGAAAGUCUGUCGGUACAGUUGUUUUUUGAUAAAGAGCAAAU